CCAGGCUUGAACUGCAGGUGACAUUCUACGAAAGUAGACUUCCGCAAGGACGCCUGUAGAGGUGCUGCAUGGCUGUCGUCAGCUCGUGUCGUGAGAUGUUGGGUUAAGUCCCGCAACGAGCGCAACCCUUGUCUUCUGUUGCCAUCAGGUUAAGCUGGGCACUCUGAAGAGACUGCCGGUGACAAACCGGAGGAAGGUGGGGAUGACGUCAAGUCAGCAUGGCCUUUAUGUCUGGGGCCACACACGUGCUACAAUGGCCGGUACAAACCGUUGCAAACUCGCGAGGGUGAGCUAAUCGGAGAAAGCCGGUCUCACUUCGGAUUGUAGGCUGCAACUCGCCUGCAUGAAGUUGGAAUCGCUAGUAAUCGCGGAUCAGCACGCCGCGGUGAAUACGUUCCC
rnacentral:rRNA from 1 species